rnacentral:rRNA from 1 species
GACGAACGCUGGCGGCGUGCUUAACACAUGCAAGUCGAACGAAGUGGCGUACGGGUGAGUAACUCGUAAUCAACCUGCCCUUCAGAGGGGGACAACAGUUGGAAAUGACUGCUCAUACCGCAUACUGAAGGAGGGGAUUGCGUCUGAGUAGCUAGUUGGAGGGGUAACGGCCCACCAAGGCGAUGAUCAGGAGCCGGUCUGAGAGGAUGAACGGCCACAUUGGGACUGGGACACGGCCCAGACUCCGACGGGAGGCAGCAGUGGGGAAUCUUCCGCAAUGGACGAAAGUCUGACGGAGCAACGCCGCGUGAGUGAUGACGGCCUUCGGGUUGUAAAGCUCUGUUAAUCGGGACGCGGUACCGGAAUAGAAAGCCACGGCUAACUACGUGCCAGCAGCCGCGGUAAUAC